GCUUGUCUCAAAGAUUAAGCCAUGCAUGUCUAAGUAUAAGCACCCUUAUACAGCGAAACUGCGUACAGCUCAUUAUAUCAGCAAUUAUUUAUUUGAAGGUCACCUAUUACAUGGAUAACCGUGGUAAUUCUAGAGCUAAUACAUGCUGUAAAGCCCGACUUCUCGGAAGGGCCGUAUUUAUUAGAUAACAGACCAAUAUUCCUCGUGUCUAUUGUGGUGAAUCAUAGUAACUGAUCGGAUCGCAUGGGCUACGCCCGCGACAAACCAUUCAAGUUUCUGCCCCAUCAGCUUUCGAUGGUAGUGUAUUGGACUACCAUGGCUUUUACGGGUAACGGAGGAUUAGGGUUCGAUUCCGGAGAGGGAGCCUGAGAAACGGCUACCACAUCUAAGGAAGGCAGCAGG
rnacentral:rRNA from 1 species